GAAGAACAAAAUUGUAACAUCAGUAACAAGAAACGAGCAACAUGACUACUUUAGGGAGAGGAGAAAGAUUUGCAAGAAGAGUGCAAUAAAUGAGGGAGCAUCUGAAAUAAACUAAGUUAUCAAUAGAGAUAAUGACAACUCUAAGGCUAACAUGGUCAAAAACUUUGAUGAAGAUUGUAAUUGACAACUGCAAGGAGGUUGCUAUAUCAAAAUAAAAAGUGAUGGAUUUUACUACAUCAAAGCACAUUUGUAGAGACCAUGUGAUGUUUAACAACUUGAAAACUAGCUAAGAGUUUGACAAUUUCACAUCAGGAAAUGGGGAGAAAAUGAAAGACUUGAAAACUAGCUAAGAGUUUGACCAUUUCACAUCAGGAAAUGGGGAGAAAAUGAAAGACAUUAUG
rnacentral:lncRNA from 1 species